rnacentral:rRNA from 1 species
AUUGAACGCUGGCGGCAUGCCUUACACAUGCAAGUCGAACGGUAGCAGGUCUUCGGAUGCUGACGAGUGGCGAACGGGUGAGUAAUACAUCGGAACGUGCCUAGUAGUGGGGGAUAACUACUCGAAAGAGUGGCUAAUACCGCAUGAGAUCUGCGGAUGAAAGCAGGGGAUCGCAAGACCUUGUGCUACUAGAGCGGCCGAUGGCAGAUUAGGUAGUUGGUGGGAUAAAAGCUUACCAAGCCGACGAUCUGUAGCUGGUCUGAGAGGACGAUCAGCCACACUGGGACUGAGACACGGCCCAGACUCCUACGGGAGGCAGCAGUGGGGAAUUUUGGACAAUGGGCGCAAGCCUGAUCCAGCAAUGCCGCGUGCAGGAUGAAGGCCUUCGGGUUGUAAACUGCUUUUGUACGGAACGAAAAGCCCCGGGUUAAUACCCUGGGGUCAUGACGGUACCGUAAGAAUAAGCACCGGCUAACUACGUGCCAGCCGCCGCCGUAA